rnacentral:rRNA from 1 species
UACGUAGGGCGCAAGCGUUGUCCGGAAUUAUUGGGCGUAAAGAGCUCGUAGGCGGCCUGUCGCGUCCGCUGUGAAAUCCCGGGGCUCAACCCCGGGCCUGCAGUGGAUACGGGCUGGCUGGAGGCAGGCAGGGGAGAACGGAAUUCCUGGUGUAGCGGUGAAAUGCGUAGAGAUGCGGAGGAACACCGAUGGCGAAGGCAGCCCCCUGGGCUGACACUGACGCUCAGGCACAAAAGCGUGGGGAGCAAACAGG